UUGGUUAAGUUAGAAAGGGCGCACGGUGGAUGCCUUGGCACUAGGAGCCGAAGAAGGACGGGACUAACACCGAUAUGCUUUGGGGAGCUGUACGUAAGCGUUGAUCCAGAGAUUUCCGAAUGGGGGAACCCACUAUCUUUAGUCGGAUAGUAUCCUUACGUGAAUACAUAGCGUGAGGAAGGCAGACCCAGGGAACUGAAACAUCUAAGUACCUGGAGGAAGAGAAAGAAAAAUCGAUUUCCUGAGUAGCGGCGAGCGAAACGGAAAGAGCCCAAACCAAGAAGCUUGCUUCUUGGGGUUGUAGGACACUCUAUACGGAGUUACAAAAGAAAGUUAUAAAUGAAGCGGUCUGGAAAGGCCCGCCAAAGACGGUAACAGCCCGGUAGUUGAAAUGGCUUUCCCUCCAGAGUGGAUCCUGAGUACGGCGGAACACGUGAAAUUCCGUCGGAAUCCGGGAGGACCAUCUCCCAAGGCUAAAUACUCCCUAGUGACCGAUAGUGAACCAGUACCGUGAGGGAAAGGUGAAAAGCACCCCGGAAGGGGAGUGAAACAGUUCCUGAAACCGUGUGCCUACAAGUAGUUAGAGCCCGUUAAUGGGUGAUAGCGUGCCUUUUGUAGAAUGAACCGGCGAGUUACGAUUUGUUGCAAGGUUAAGCGGAAAAAGCGGAGCCGUAGCGAAAGCGAGUCUGAAUAGGGCGCAUAAGUAACAGGUCGUAGACCCGAAACCAGGUGAUCUACCCAUGUCCAGGAUGAAGGUAAGGUAAUACUUACUGGAGGUCCGAACCCACGCACGUUGAAAAGUGCGGGGAUGAGGUGUGGGUAGCGGAGAAAUUCCAAUCGAACUUGGAGAUAGCUGGUUCUCUCCGAAAUAGCUUUAGGGCUAGCCUCGAGGUAAAGAGUCAUGGAGGUAGAGCACUGUUUGGACUAGGGGCCCUUCUCGGGUUACCGAAUUCAGAUAAACUCCGAAUGCCAUGUACUUAUACUCGGGAGUCAGACUGCGAGUGAUAAGAUCCGUAGUCGAAAGGGAAACAGCCCAGACCACCAGUUAAGGUCCCCAAAUAUAUGUUAAGUGGAAAAGGAUGUGGGGUUGCUUAGACAACCAGGAUGUUGGCUUAGAAGCAGCCACCAUUGAAAGAGUGCGUAAUAGCUCACUGGUCGAGUGACCCCGCGCCGAAAAUGUACCGGGGCUAAACAUAUUACCGAAACUGUGGAUGAACCUCUUUAGAGGUUCGUGGUAGGAGAGCGUUCUAAGGGCGGUGAAGUCAGACCGGAAGGACUGGUGGAGCGCUUAGAAGUGAGAAUGCCGGUAUGAGUAGCGAAAGAAGGGUGAGAAUCCCUUCCACCGAAUAUCUAAGGUUUCCUGAGGAAGGCUCGUCCGCUCAGGGUUAGUCGGGACCUAAGCCGAGGCCGAUAGGCGUAGGCGAUGGACAACAGGUAGAGAUUCCUGUACCAGUGCUAAUUGUUUAACCGAUGGGGUGACACAGAAGGAUAGGGAAUCGCACGAAUGGAAAUGUGCGUCCAAGCAGUGAGUGUGAGAAGUAGGCAAAUCCGCUUCUCGCGAAGCAUGAGCUGUGAUGGGGAAGGAAAUUAAGUACGGAAGUUCCUGAUUUCACGCUGUCAAGAAAAGCCUCUAGGAAGAGUAGUACUGCCCGUACCGCAAACCGACACAGGUAGAUGAGGAGAGAAUCCUAAGGUGAGCGAGAGAACUCUCGUUAAGGAACUCGGCAAAAUGACCCCGUAACUUCGGGAGAAGGGGUGCUCUAUUAGGGUGCAAGCCCGAGAGAGCCGCAGUGAAUAGGCCCAGGCGACUGUUUAGCAAAAACACAGGUCUCUGCAAAACCGUAAGGUGACGUAUAGGGGCUGACGCCUGCCCGGUGCUGGAAGGUUAAGAGGAGUGCUUAGCUUCGGUGAAGGUACGAAUUGAAGCCCCAGUAAACGGCGGCCGUAACUAUAACGGUCCUAAGGUAGCGAAAUUCCUUGUCGGGUAAGUUCCGACCCGCACGAAAGGCGCAACGAUCUGGGCACUGUCUCAACGAGAGACUCGGUGAAAUUAUAGUACCUGUGAAGAUGCAGGUUACCCGCGACAGGACGGAAAGACCCCGUGGAGCUUUACUGCAACCUGAUAUGGAAUGUUUGUACCGCUUGUACAGGAUAGGUAGGAGCCGAAGAGACGUGUGCGCUAGCAUACGAGGAGGCAAUGGUGGGAUACUACCCUGGCUGUAUGACCAUUCUAACCCGCCACGCUUAGCGCGUGGGGAGACAGUGUCAGGUGGGCAGUUUGACUGGGGCGGUCGCCUCCUAAAGAGUAACGGAGGCGCCCAAAGGUUCCCUCAGAAUGGAUGGAAAUCAUUCGCAGAGUGUAAAGGCACAAGGGAGCUUGANGGAGGCGCCCAAAGGUUCCCUCAGAAUGGAUGGAAAUCAUUCGCAGAGUGUAAAGGCACAAGGGAGCUUGACUGCGAGACUGACAAGUCGAGCAGGGACGAAAGUCGGGCUUAGUGAUCCGGUGGUUCCGCAUGGAAGGGCCAUCGCUCAACGGAUAAAAGCUACCCCGGGGAUAACAGGCUUAUCUCCCCCAAGAGUCCACAUCGACGGGGAGGUUUGGCACCUCGAUGUCGGCUCGUCGCAUCCUGGGGCUGUAGUCGGUCCCAAGGGUUGGGCUGUUCGCCCAUUAAAGCGGCACGCGAGCUGGGUUCAGAACGUCGUGAGACAGUUCGGUCCCUAUCCGUCGCGGGCGCAGGAAAUUUGAGAGGAGCUGUCCUUAGUACGAGAGGACCGGGAUGGACACACCGCUGGUGUACCAGUUGUUCCGCCAGGAGCAUCGCUGGGUAGCUAUGUGUGGCAGGGAUAAACGCUGAAAGCAUCUAAGCGUGAAGCCCCCCUCAAGAUGAGAUUUCCCAUUUCUUCGGAAAGUAAGAUCCCUGAAAGAUGAUCAGGUAGAUAGGUUUGGAGUGGAAGUGUAGCGAUACAUGGAGCGGACAAAUACUAAUCGAUCGAGGACUUAACCAAAA
rnacentral:rRNA from 1 species